GACGAACGCUGGCGGCGUGCCUAAUACAUGCAAGUAGAACGCUGAAGGAGGAGCUUGCUUCUCUGGAUGAGUUGCGAACGGGUGAGUAACGCGUAGGUAACCUGCCUGGUAGUGGGGGAUAACUAUUGGAAACGAUAGCUAAUACCGCAUAAUAGCAGUUGUUGCAUGAUAACUGUUUGAAAGGUGCAAUUGCACCGCUACCAGAUGGACCUGCGUUGUAUUAGCUAGUUGGUGGGGUAACGGCUCACCAAGGCGACGAUACAUAGCCGACCUGAGAGGGUGAUCGGCCACACUGGGACUGAGACACGGCCCAGACUCCUACGGGAGGCAGCAGUAGGGAAUCUUCGGCAAUGGACGGAAGUCUGACCGAGCAACGCCGCGGGAGUGAAGAAGGUUUUCGGAUCGUAAAGCUCUGUUGUAAGAGAAGAACGAGUGUGAGAGUGGAAAGUUCACACUGUGACGGUAUCUUACCAGAAAGGGACGGCUAACUACGUG
rnacentral:rRNA from 1 species